GAUGAACGCUGGCGGCGUGCCUAAUACAUGCAAGUCGAGCGAACAGACGAGGAGCUUGUUCCUCUGACGUUAGCGGCGGACGGGUGAGUAACACGUGGAUAACCUACCUAUAAGACUGGGAUAACUUCGGGAAACCGGUGCUACUACCGGAUAAUAUAUUGAACCGCAUGGUUCAAUAGUGAAUGACGGUUUUGCUGUCACUUAUAGAUGGAUCCGCGCCGCAUUAGCUAGUUGGUAAGGUAACGGCUUACCAAGGCAACGAUGCGUAGCCGACCUGAGAGGGUGAUCGGCCACACUGGAACUGAGACACGGUCCAGACUCCUACGGGAGGCAGCAGUAGGGAAUCUUCCGCAAUGGGCGAAAGCCUGACGGAGCAACGCCGCGUGAGUGAUGAAGGUCUUCGGAUCGUAAAACUCUGUUAUUAGGGAAGAACAAAUGUGUAAGUAACUAUGCACGUCUUGACGGUACCUAAUCAGAAAGCCACGGCUAACUACGUG
rnacentral:rRNA from 1 species